CAUCCUUCGUCGUUUGCCCUCUCGCGCGCUGACAGGUGGGCCAAACCAGCAGGAAACCUCCUCGUCGUGCCCCAAUCCCUGGAUCCGAUCUCACGAUACCAGGAGCAGGCGGAGGCCGCCGUUGUGCUCCUCCUGCCGCUCACCCCGACCACCACUGCGGCAACGUCUCCAGUGCAAUCUGGAGCGCGCCGUCCACGCCGCCGAACCGGCUAUCCUGUGAACCUCUCGGUCCACGUCAUUCACGCUUGGCUUCCCACCAUUGAUCGACUUCGCCUUUCCCGUCCCGAUGCAGCGACCGCCCGCCCGCGUGCCCUGGACCUUCCGCCGGCUCCCGGAUCCAUCUGCCUCUUGCAGCCGUCGCCAGCCCCCUUCUACCUCGAGAUUUUAAUUAAAUACUACUAAAGAUAGGUCUAGGCCAAACGCGGCAGCAGAGUCCGUUUCUGGUGAGAAACGGGGUGGAGACGAUGCAGGAGAGGGCAAGGGAUAGAGCAAGAGUGGAGUCGUCGGAGCUGCCGAUGUGGGGUAAAACGGAGAUCACCGGCGGGGAUUUCUCGAGGCUGCAUCACCGAAUCAAAAUCCUAGGCGCCGUGAAUGUGGCCAGGUUUGAUUGCUAACUAAGGAGUGUGGGCAGGUGGGGAAGAUGCACGUGUCGCGACGGUGCAUCGGAAAUUGGCGAAGGCUCGUCUCGGCAAACAAGAAGCUAUGGAUACAUGCGUGUCUAGCCGCAAGCCGUCUUCGUUGUUGUUCAUGGAGUCCAACAGUAUUCUACACACGAAUGAUAUCCAUUGAGGAGAUCGCUUAAAUAGCAUCAGAUGCCACACAAGCCUGAUGGCUAAUGUUUCCGCUCCGUUGACGACCCCCACCGACGCCUCCAAUGACAUAAGAUUUGUUCUCCCCGGUCAAUACCUGUAUCCUCCGUUGGUGCAAAAUCAGACAGAUUCUCUAUGGACAAGAAUCUGGGAAAAAAGGAUCCCUCCCCUACUGAAUUAUGAGGAUUUCAUCAUCAUGAUAUCAUUUCCACUUCUCAUUCUUGGGGAUUCUGUCAGUCUAUGAUAUAUUAGGUAUGCAUAUAUUUUGAGUUAUGUUACAGCCAAAUGUUUGACAGAAUACAUAUGUAAAACUAUCAAGGGGUUAUUAGGAGCACUGUAAGAUAUGGGGAUUGGGCGAAAAGAAUGUAUUGGCUUACUUUGAGACUGCUCAUGUUAAUUUUUCAUACUUGAGCUUACCCGUCAAAUUUCUCCACACGUAUUACAGAAUUUUGUUUGUGAAAAAUACAAUGCGCUGAACAUGUAAUCCCAAUAUUUUGAGACAUUUGAAUUAGCACUUUUGUUUUAUUUUUCCUUAGUUUUUUAGUGGCAGAGGGGUGAAAUUACCCCCGGAAAAUUGAAGACAUCGAGUGUUGUCGAUGUGCGUUCUUUUGUUUCAUUACAUCUCGGUUUCAUAUGUUUCUUAUUUUUUCCUGCUUCUAGAAUCUUCACAGGUCAAGAAAUUAUGCCCAUGCUCAAACUUACAGCCAAAAAUCUUAUUUGGAUGUUAAGUAAAUGAAAGCAUCUCACAAGGGUUGAUGCUGCGGAAGGGGAGCUAUUCUGAUAGCAGUUUGAAUUAGAUCAGGUGUUUGUCGGUGGCCAUGCGGCUUCUGACUCAAUUAAACUGAAAGCUCUGUCUCCUGGGAUGCGAUGUGCAGGCGGGCAUGUAGGUUUGGCAAUCUGUGGAAGCACAACCGAACCAGCCACCAUGUACUCCUCCAUAUCGAGGCCUUCAGGAAGAUUGCGCUCUGCGUGGCUAGCAUCAUGCCCAUCCAUUACCUCUGCAUCUAGCAUGUCGAGUUUGCUUCUGGUCCUCCUGCCUAGCGAAAGGAGGUGAAGGUGGAGUCUUCUGGUGGUGGUCUCCCAACGGCUCGUUAUAGCAGGGUGGGAAGACAAUGGUGUUGUUUUAUCAACGGUAACAAGCAUAAGUCUAUGUUUUUUUUGUUUUUUUAUUGAUGUAAUACUAUAUAUGUAUGACCCAAGUUUCACAGGGUGGUUACCUUUGAUGACUCUUAUUAAUACACAUUCAUGAUGUUGUACCGGAGUACCCUGAAAUGUCAAGGGAGUAUAUAAAAAACAUCACCAUUGUGCAAGAACAUCAUGAAUGUUUAAAUAUUAAGAGAUAAUUAGUUGGGACGCUACU